AUUAGAAGACACGUUAGUCCCAUCUUUAUUCUUCUCAAAGUCCAUUGGCUCCUGUGUGUACGUGCUAUUAUCAAUCUUCUGUCUGCUGAGAAUUUUUCUUAGAGGGACUUAUUCCCAGGAAAGAAAAUGGGAGAUAAUUUUAACUUAACAGCUGUUGAGCAAAAGGAGAUGAGUAGGCCAGUUACUUACUAGAAGACUGAAGAGACCAGUGGCAGUUUUGCUGUGCCUUUUCCAGACUUCAGCAGACUUUCAGCAUGGUGUCUCUUGCAGGUAUUUGAAGUGAACAAAUGAAAAACGGAUCCCAGAAAUAAAUAGAAGGGAGUACUUAAAACCCUGGGAGAGUCACUCUACCAACCUAAAGACCCAGCUGUGGUCACGUGGAAAACCAACCCAACAAUUAACAACUACUUGCCUUUUCUGCCACCUUAUAUCUGAAAUAAACCCUUUGAACAGUAGGGUCAGAAUGAAUGAAGAAGAGAGGAGAAAUGAACAAGCUCAGACCAACACUGGGUACCUGAUGUGUUCCUGCAAUCAAGCAACAGAUGGGUCAUGCCCCAGCUCCAAACAGCAGACUGGGAGACUUCAAACUGUCAGGAAGAUGGGGCUUUCUGGUGCCUAGAAAGUGAUCAAACAGCCCUGCCAUCAAAUGCCCUACUUCAUGCUCAACGAACAUUUUAUUAUUAUUAUUAGCUGGCUCUGUCUCCCAAAGAAGUUGUCCCUGACAUCAUGGGUUCACCUGCUUUUUCCCAUCCCAUGUCUCCAUUUCCUUUUGGCACAGAAAGAUGUUUUUCGUAGCAUUACAAUGGACGGGAAUGGGAAUUUGCCCAGCUGAAAAAUAGAUUUUGCCUUUGUUUUGCUCAAGUUAGUUCUUGAGGGAUGUAUCCACCCCUUAUUGCAUGUACAAACACAAGGGCACUUACCAGUGCCUAAGGACAGGGAACUACAGGGGUGGCUUCAUUGGAGUCUGGCUUAGCCAGUUUACAUGGCCAUUGAAUUAAAGUCCUGUGAGCCCUAAAGCUGUCCUUUGUAGCAAUAGCCAUACUGCCACUGUUUUGCUGUAACUGUACGCAGAAAAAAAACCACAAUGGAUCAAAGUAGCAACUCACAAAUAAAUAAACCUCCUCUCAUGUUU
rnacentral:lncRNA from 1 species